AUUCCGAAUUGUUUAAUUUGGUUCUUUGAAAUAAUUCAAGCUUUUUAUUGUUAAGUUUCUAUAGAUCUAUGAAAAUACUCACCAUUUAUGUUGUUUGGUAUCUGAUUGUGGACUUGGUAAUGUCUGAGAUAAAGCUUGUAGAUGUUCUUGAAUUGAGUUAUACUUCAAAAGAUGAGCCUCAUCCUCGUCGAGAGAUUUGUGGUAGAUUUCGUACUAUUUUUGAAGGCUAUUACAAAGAUUAAGUGUAGAGGUACAAACCUUUUGCUUACUGAUAUAUUUUUUUUCUCAUUGAUAUCUGUUUAUUGACCUAGUAGUUAACAGGAAGGAGGUAAUUUAUGAUUACUAUUGGACGAUUACUGGUGUUAUUGGAGUAUGGUCACUUGGAGGAAAUUUGAAUAUUAUUGAAAGGGUUGAAUAUUAUAAAUGCUUAUUGAGGACAGGAAGAAGAAUAAUAUAUUAAAGUUGGGUUCUCACUUGUAACGUUUGUGUCAUGUCAGUAUUGGAUGAGUACGAUGUUUAAUAGCUAGAUAAUUGGGCUUGUUAAUUGGACAGCUGCUGGAUGGGGGAAUAUGGGUGGUGGUUCUAAUCAACUCCUUAUGCCUUUGAUCUAUGAUAUAAUUCAUAGAGUUGGGACAACUCCGUUUACUGCUCGGAGUAGCGCGUUAUUUAUUCCUGGUUGGCUUCAUGUUAUUAUGGGAAUUUUGCUUUAACUCUUGGUCAAGACUUGCCUGAUGGUAACCUUGCUUCUUUACAGAAGAAAGGUGAUGUUACAAAAGAUAAGUAAU